GACGAACCGUCCAAACGUUAUUCGGAAUCACUGGGCUUACAGAGUUCGUAGGCGGUCUGGAAAGUUGGGUGUGAAAUCCCUCGGCCUAACCGAGGAACUGCGCUUGAAACUACCAGACUCGAGGGAGAUAGAGGAAAGCGGAACUGAUGGUGGAGCGGUGAAAUGCGUUGAUAUCAGCAGGAACACCGGUGGCGAAGGCGGCUUUCUGGGUCUUACCUGACGCUGAGGAACGAAAGCCAGGGGAGCGAACGGG
rnacentral:rRNA from 1 species